CCUGAAGCGUGGGAGGGAGCAGAGGUAACGCCCUGGAGUUCUUAAUAGGCCUCAUUCAGAGAAGUCAGCCAAAGGUUUCUCACCAGAUCAUGGGAAAAUGACACAUGCAUGGUAGUUGGUCUCUAGUCUUUAGGAAAUGGACAAACCAUAUUGUAUUGAAGAUAUGUUUUGUUUUCACAAUUAAGUACCCUUGUGGAAACAUAUGACAUUGUUAAUCUAAGUAAAGAGCAGUGUCAUCAUUGGGAGUGGGUUGAACGGUCUUCAUAAUUGCAUGACUCAGUCUUGUGGGUUAAAGAGGAUCACAUUGGGAGAGAGUAGGAGAAUGAAGACUGGGUUUUGACUGUAAAUCCCAGUAUGGAGCUGGUUGAUGAGACCACAAUUAGGGCUGUAAUUUCCAUGUGCGUUUGAUGACUGGAGACAGACAGUCACUUAGUUCAUACUACAAACGCACACAGACAGAAGAUAGCGAUGCAGAGUGUCAGGAGCCUGGAUAACAAUAUUAAAGCCUGCAAUCAGUCAGAGAAAGAAACCCUUCUCACUUGAAAACUGUGAUGAGUUUCUGGAUCCGCUACCGGGUCACCAGACACGGGCUGAGCCACAGUGGAGAGAAGCCAUACAUGUUUUGAGUGGGUGAAGGAAAAGUGGCGGCCAUAUCGGAAAAUGACAAACAUGGGUCCUGCUGCACAAGAUUGAACAUGCACAUCUGCUGCCCUUUUAGUGAAGAUGACACACACACGGGCCUCUACGAGGGUAUUUAGGCUCUACCACAUCUGCCUGAGCUCUGACCCUUUCUCAUAGGUGUAACUUUUGGGGCUGUAAGAGAAUUUGAUACUUUUUGUCCCAAGUUAUGUUUGGGGCAAGUACAACAAAUUACAGAGUACCACUCUCCAUAUUUUUAAACAUAGUGGUGGCUGAAUCAUGUUCUGGGUAUGUGUGUAGUGGUUAAGGACUGGAGAGUUUUCAGGAUAAAAUUUUAAAAAAUGGAGCUCAGCACAGGAAAAAUCCUAGAGGAAAACCUGGUUCAGCCUGCUUUCCACCAAACACAGGGAUAUGAAUUCACCUUUCAGCAGGACAAUAACCUAAAAACCCAAAGCUGAAUCUACUGGCGUUCCUUACCCAAGAACACAGUGACUGUUCCUGAGUGGCCAAGUUAAUGUUUACUUGAAGAGUGGCAAGAGUUAGACCUGAAAAUGGUUGUCUAGCAAUGACGGGAGGUCCGUGGGGCGACGCACAAUUGGCCUAGCGUUGUCCGGGUUAGGGAGGGUUUGGCCGGUAGGGAUAUCCUUGUCUCAUUGCGCACCAGCGACUCCUGUGGCGGGCCGGGCGCAGUGCGCGCUAACUAAGGUUGCCAGGUGCACGGUGUUUCCUCUGACACAUUGGUGCGUCUGGGCAUGGGAUCUAUUUAAAUCACUAAAUAUGUGUUCACUUUGUCAUUGUGUGUAGAUGGGCCACUUCCCUUUUGAACGCGGCACUGGUACAACCUUUUUAACUUUUUGCAUGUAAGCAGGAAUCGGGAGGAUAGAAUUAUGGUCCGAUUUUCCAAAUGGAGGGCGGGGGAGAGCUUUGUAUGCAUCUCUGUGUGGAGUCAAGGUGCUCUAGAGUUUUUAUCCAUUUAGUCACACAGCUGAACUGCUGGUAGAAAUGAGGUAAAACAGAUUUGAGUUUCCCUUCAUCAAAAUCACCGGUAACUAGGAGAGCUUCCUAGAUGAGCAUUUUCUUGUUUGCUUGUGGCCCUAUGCAACUCGUUGAGUGCCGUCUUAGUGCCAGUGUUUGGUUUGUGGUGGUAAAUGGACAAUUUGAGGUAUUCUAACUCAAGUGGGCAGAAUCUUGAGACUUCCCUAAUAUUAUUAAUAUUAGCCGUUAAACACACCACCACCCUUGAUCUCACUGGACUCUGCCGUUCUGUCCUGCUGAUGCAUAGAAAAACCCUGCUACAUUUCUAUUAUUCAUGUCCUUGUUCAGCCAUGACUCCGAGAACCAUAGUAUAUUAAUUCUUAAUGUCCCGUUGAUAGGAUAGUCUCAAAUGGAGCUCAUCCAGUUUAUUUUCCAGUGAUUGCACAUUAGGCAAUAGGUAAGAGGGUAGAGGUGAUUUUUUAAAAUGAAUUCGCCGACAUAGUCUUACCAGGGUGCUCUCACACCGGCCUCUAUAGGGCAGUAUUCCCCUUUUAUGAGUGUUGGGGAUUAGGGCCUGGAAUCGAUGCCAAUCGCCGCCUCUAUUUGGACGAGGACUUCUACUUCAAUGAGUCGGUUAGUGAUAGCUGUUCUGAUGUCCAGAAGCUCUUUUCAGUCAUGGGAAAUUAUGGCAGAAACAUUAUGUGUAAAAAAAAAGUUAAGAUCAGAGCAAAUAAAGACACAACAGUCUUAAGUCGUCCCAUCAGACUCAGUUGGAGUCCGGGACUGUGUCCACACGGUCUGAGACCAGCAGACUGGCUGCCCAACUCCGUAACACUAGCUCCUACACCAUGUAACACCCAUGCCCUGAUAUGGACUGCUCCAUCAGAACCACGGGGGUGUUCAGAAACCUGUGGAAGAGGAACCUAUACUUUGCGAUGUGUGAAGUAUUUUUGUUCAAUUUGUUUUCAGAAGUCGACUCUUUCAGUUAUGUAUGAAAUAAAUCCUCAUUACUGCAGGUCUGGAUUUGUGUCUGACGUUCAUGGUUGUGUAAUGCACCAUGCAACAUGUUUAGCAAUAAUAUUCGGUUGAGGGGCAUUUGCUAAGUGCCUCGAAUAAUGGCACUUUCAUAUCGUGUUCUAAAGUCUGUUCCUUUCAUCCAGGGGAGGGGUGAUCUUGUUGAAGAAGAAAUGGCACAUAAAAUAGCCAAGAGGUCUGUGUGCUCCUAAUAUAUCAACUCUCGCAUGCUCUUCUCAGUGCUCACAAGACACCAACAGAACUGACUGAACACACACGGCAGGGAGCCUAGUGGUUAAGAGUGUUGGGCCAGUAACCAAACGGUUGCUGGUUUGAAACCCAGAGCCAACUACUUGAAAAAUCGUUUUGAGCCCCUGAGCAAGGCUCUUAACCCAAAUUGCUCCUGUAAGUUGUGUCUGCUAAAAUAUAAAUGCAUCCAGGUGCUGAACUGACUCCAGUAAACUAGCGUGCC